AACAUCUACACAAGUACUAUGAUUCUGUUUUGAUCACAUACAUUGCAUUUAACCUUCAUAUUCAUAAUUCUUUACAUUUCAUUACAUCACUUACAUCAUUUUUUUUUACAUCACAAUGCCUCAAAACAAACUGUACAAUCUUUUCUUUCUUCGCUUGAUACAUCAACAUCUUAAAUCAUCAAAUACAAAAAAUGAUAAAGGUAUACUACUAACAAAAUAUAAA
rnacentral:lncRNA from 1 species